rnacentral:rRNA from 1 species
GACGAACGCUGGCGGCGUGCUUAACACAUGCAAGUCGAACGGAAAGGCCCUGCUUUUGUGGGGUGCUCGAGUGGCGAACGGGUGAGUAACACGUGAGUAACCUGCCCUUGACUUUGGGAUAACUUCAGGAAACUGGGGCUAAUACCGGAUAGGAGCUCCUGCUGCAGGGUGGGGGUUGGAAAGUUUCGGCGGUUGGGGAUGGACUUGCGGCUUAUCAGCUUGUUGGUGGGGUAGUGGCUUACCAAGGCUUUGACGGGUAGCCGGCCUGAGAGGGUGACCGGCCACAUUGGGACUGAGAUACGGCCCAGACUCCUACGGGAGGCAGCAGUGGGGAAUAUUGCACAAUGGGCGGAAGCCUGAUGCAGCAACGCCGCGUGCGGGAUGACGGCCUUCGGGUUGUAAACCGCUUUCGCCUGUGACGAAGCGUGAGUGACGGUAAUGGGUAAAGAAGCACCGGCUAACUACGUG